GGACAUGAGGGCUAUCUGGCUACAACAUCUGUCACCUCAUUGAUAACCAGUGUUGAUUUGGCUGGUUAGGCGGGUGUCCCCUUCCUCCCUCACCAUUCCAUGUGUGUCUCCCCCAAAGCUGAGUGUUCAGUUGAAGAGGAUGAACAUCCCCGAUAGAGGAGGGCCAGUCUUUGGUCAAGGGUAUAUGAGUAGCUGCACUCUCCUGCUGGAACCUCUGCACAAGCUCUCAAAAACAGGCAGUGUGCUGGCUUUGGCCCAUACCUUUGCUGGCCAGCCUCUGUUUUUAG
rnacentral:snRNA from 1 species